AAGUCGUAACAAGGUUUCCGUAGGUGAACCUGCGGAAGGAUCAUUAUCACGUAUCCACGUUAUAAACCAACUCGUGAACCGUUCCACCUUCAGUGGUCCUAUAGGGGCGUUGAUUUUAGCAAACAAAAAAAAAAUUUUGGUUUUGAAAUUUUCUUUUCAAUUCCUCUUUUUCUUUUCUUUGGUUGCGCGGCGUCCUUGGGAUACUGAAGCGUAAUUCCCUUUUCAUUAUUUACAAUUGAAACUCAAUUUUAUUUAAUUGAAAUUGAACUAAACUCUUUUUCUUUAUUUCUUUCGGGAAAUAAGAAAAAAAUUCAUUACGAAACAAAAGAACAACUCUUAGCAACGGAUAUCUUGGUUCUCGUAACGAUGAAGUACGCAGC
rnacentral:misc_RNA from 1 species